AGGCCCCCCGCCGCUCCUCCUCGGCACUCCCCCUAGCCCACUUCAACUUCCCUCAAGCAAAGCGUCUAUCUUCCGCAGAGAAGGAAUCCCGAGAGAACAGGGCGGCGGCAGCAGAAGGAGGCGGCUCCGAGAGCUGUGCGAGUACAGCACCGACCGGCGAGGAAGCACUCGGCAAACUUCUGCGCGGCGCCUGCCGCCCGCACCGGCUAGUUUGGCUUAAUUUUGCCUUCCUGCGCAUCUUUAUUUAUGCAAUACCGCCGCCUCAUGGUGAGGGCUGGGAACGGCGUCAAGGACGGACGUACUCAUACGAACGACACAAGUCCGCAGGGACCAAAUCAAGAGAGGACACAAGGUGUGAUUACAUCUUAUAGAACAAGAGAUGAGAAGGCGAAGUAGCCAAAUUUCAGAAUGCUGUGAAUGUUAAAUUGCACCAAAAGGAUUUGUUCAGCAAAAUUCAGCGGCUGGAAACACUACUGCACAAACAACUGAGUUCCGUUAGUAAAUUACAUGGAAAGAAAGAGAUGGAGAGGAAACCUAUACACUGAAAAAGACUUAGAAGACAUAUCAGCCAAUCACAAUGUGUGGAAUUUAUUUGGAAUUUGUAGGGGUUUCUUCUAAUCAAUAAAUAUUUGACCUUAUGAAA